GAUGAACGCUGGCGGCGUGCCUAAUACAUGCAAGUCGAGCGAACAGACGAGGAGCUUGCUCCUCUGACGUUAGCGGCGGACAGGUGAGUAACACGUGGAUAACCUACCCAUAAGACUGGGAUAACUUCGGGAAACCGGAGCUAAUACCGGAUAAUAUAUUGAACCGCAUGGUUCAAUAGUGAAAGACGGUUUUGCUGUCACUUAUAGAUGGAUCCGCGCCGCAUUAGCUAGUUGGUAAGGUAACGGCUUACCAAGGCAACGAUGCGUAGCCGACCUGAGAGGGUGAUCGGCCACACUGGAACUGAGACACGGUCCAGACUCCUACGGGAGGCAGCAGUAGGGAAUCUUCCGCAAUGGGCGAAAGCCUGACGGAGCAACGCCGCGUGAGUGAUGAAGGUCUUCGGAUCGUAAAACUCUGUUAUUAGGGAAGAACAAAUGUGUAAGUAACUAUGCACGUCUUGACGGUACCUAAUCAGAAAGCCACGGCUAACUACGUG
rnacentral:rRNA from 1 species